AUUGAACGCUGGCGGCAGGCUUAACACAUGCAAGUCGAGCGCGCGUCGGGCGGGUGUGUCAUGUCUGGAACACUGCCUUAUGGCGGGGAAUACUUCCUGGAACCGGUGUCUAAUCCCGCAUACCUUCAGAUUUUCCCUGAUGGGAUUAGCUAGUAGGUGAGUUAAUGGCUAACCAAGGCUACGAUCCAUAGCUGGUCUGAGAGGAUGACCAGCCACACUGGAACUGAGACACGGUCCAGACUCCUACGGGAGGCAGCAGUGGGGAAUAUUGCACAAUGGGCGAAAGCCUGAUGCAGCCAUGCCGCGUGAGUGAAGAAGGUCUUCGGAUUGUAAAGCACUGUCAGUGAGGAGGCGUUACUAGCAGAAUAAGCACCGGCUAACUCCGUGCCAGCAGCCGCGGUAAUAC
rnacentral:rRNA from 1 species